rnacentral:lncRNA from 1 species
AUGACUUCCUGAGAGGUGGCCGGAUUCUCAUGACCUGGCGUGUGUGUUGGGUGGGCGGGCCUGAGCGUUAUCUGCGUAACCUAGUUUUGCACCCUGAGAACACGUGCUCCUCAUUUCAGCUCAUCUCAGAGAAGACGGCCUGGUUUCAGUUCUUCACUCCGUUAGCUAUUCUCUCUCGUCAUCUGUAACACUGAGAUAAACAUCCAACGGUUCACUGCUCCCCUUUUCAGCCCGUUGUUCAAUCAAAGUGGAAAAACGACAAAAUAAGGAAUAGGCUGCUGUUUGUCCCCUUCAACUCCAUCCAUACUGAAGCAGUAACUAUUCCAACGAUGCAUGGACACUAUGGGCUGAUCCACACAUACCUGGCUGAUUGUGAGGUGUGAUGGUUCUCAGCUGGUGGGUGGUGGAUGGGACAGACAUACCUGGCUGAUUGUGAGGUGUGAUGGUUCUCAGCUGGUGGGUGGUGGAUGGGACAGACAUACCUGGCUGAUUGUGAGGUGUGAUGGUUCUCAGCUGGUGGGUGGUGGAUGGGACAGACAUACCUGGCUGAUUGUGAGGUGUGAUGGUUCUCAGCUGGUGGGUGGUGGAUGGGACAGACAUACCUGGCUGAUUGUGAGGUGUGAUGGUUCUCAGCUGGUGGGUGGUGGAUGGGACAGACAUACCUGGCUGAUUGUGAGGUGGGAUGAUUCUCAGCUGGUGGAUGGGACAGACAUACCUGGCUGAUUGUGAGGUGGGAUGAUUCUCAGCUGGUGGAUGGGACAGACAGGCUGCGUCUGAAAUGGCAUCCAAAGGGACCUGGUCUAUAGUAGUGGACUAUAGAGGGAAUAGGGUGCAUUAUGCUCUGGUCUAAAGUAGUGGACUAUAGAGGGAAUAUGGUGCAUUAUGCUCUGGUCUAAAGUAGUGGACUAUAGAGGGAAUAUGGUGCAUUAUGCUCUGGUCUAAAGUAGUGGACUAUAGAGGGAAUAGGGU